GUGAAAGCCAGCAAAUACCAUCGAUCUAAACCUAAUUCUUUGCAAUAGGGACGGCAGAAAUCAAUAAAUUCUGCAUAGUCAGUGUAGAAAGCGAGGCGAGGGUGAGGUGGUUGUUCAGCAACGACGGAGCGGAACAAUUUGAUUGAAGGCCACACUGGUUUCAAAGAAAGUUAACUUAUGUCUACUUCAUUUCGACAACUAAAUAAUGAACAGUGCUCAAAACUAGGUGGCCAAUUCAGUGAUUAUGAUCGUGCAAAAAAUCAUUUUUUCAUUGACGACAGGUAAUAACCUCUUCAAUACAUUUGGCACAGGAAAUGACUGAGAAUAUUAUGGGCGUUGUAAUUUCAUUAAAGGAUGGCGUACCACGAUGUCUAAGCGUCCAGCUUGGAUAGGACGGUAGCCCUAUUAAUGGUCUCUGCGACAACAGAUAUCCGCGCGACUGAUUAUAGCUUUUACCGUCCAGAACCAGCAGUUUCUUUUAUAACAGGCUCUGAGCGACAGGCAUUUGUCUGUGGUCUCGGCAAUCGUUAUGCAACAUAUCAGACGAAGUUUCAUCUAUAAGUCUAUGGUUUGUUAAAAAGGUAAUUGUUGAUCCGAUCCACUUUGAAGAUAUCCCUCAUAUUUCGAUUGUAUAUAUACGCGAUGAAAGAAGCGGACCCUGUCACCUGCAGGUCUGGUAUCAUCGACGAGCUAAGUAGAAAGGACCUAUGUCAAUAUUUUUCACUAACAAUGUAAUCGGUGUUGUGGUCGAACGAACAAACUGUGUUCCAGACUGUUGAUAAAUGUGGUGUGCGCACACAUGGAUUUUGCCGGCGUCUAGCAAGCGAGAGCUAUUUACAUUAAAGUUAACUAAACUUGGUUCAAUUCAAUCGUCUACGAAACAUUUAGAUGUACCUAUAAUGACUUGAAUUUAGGCGUCAAACUACUAAGGACUACUCUUCAGACGAUGAACAGACUUUGGUUAAUUCUUGUCUCAUUCUUCUGUCACUGAAAGUUGAGUGCUGGAGCCGAGGCCUAGGUCGCCGACUUUAUUCUCUGCUUGAAUGGUAAUAUUUUCGGGGCCAAAGACGCAGAACUUAUUCGAAAACAUCAACAGGAUAAGGACGUUUGCCGUACUUCGAAAAUCACGCGCUAGCCAAAAGCGGAUCGGCCACGUAGGGACAGAUUCGAGCUAACGUGAUGUAACAGUGGCGCUGCGCUGGUGAAGGGAGGAAGCCUGCACGAACAAUGAACAUACAUAGAGGGUCGGUUGUAUUCUACCAACGAGAUGAAGGAGGGAGGAGCCUGACGAGCAGCUGAGUCGGCGAUGAACAGAUCUUAUUGGUUGUCGGCGGCGAAGGAAAUGGCGAGAAAGCCAUUCAAGCAUCCGGGUGGAUCAGUCGGGGCGCUAUAGAGUCAAUGCGCUGUGACGACU